rnacentral:lncRNA from 1 species
AAUAAUAUCAUUUUGGUAAGAUUCUUCCAGACAGUAUGAUUAGGAUGUUACAUAAAUCAAACUGUGCUAUAUACAGUAUGCAGAGAAGGAAAUUCCUUAGCUUGUCUAAAGUCUGAUAGUGUGAAGAAUUUGCUGACCUGCUCUCCAUGCCUGUCUGAGCACGAGUGAAGUGAAUCAGAGAGAGAUUGCAAGAUGGAGAAAGGAGGUACAGUUGGAGAGAGUGGAGGGGGCAGGAAAGACCAGACAGAGCUGCAUCUCCCAUGAAAACAACUGUGUACAUAAGAUAGAGUGAGUACAUAGAGUACAUAGAAGAGUGAGCUCUGAAAGAACUCUCACAUGGACCCCAGAAAGAGGAGUACUCAACGCCUGCUGCACAGAAGGCAUCAGCAGUUAAGUACUGGCUAGAAAAGCGGAGUCCAUCAAAGGAGAGGACCACAGUGGUAGCUGCCUGUUACAAGCUAUUGAGGCACUCCAGAGUGACGGCAUGUGAUCCCCCUGACACAAGAAACAGGCCCAGAUAACACACCGUUCAGACCGACAGCAGUUCUGGUU